rnacentral:rRNA from 1 species
UACGUAGGGGGCAAGCGUUGUCCGGAUUCAUUGGGCGUAAAGAGCGUGUAGGCGGCCAGGUAGGUCGGUUGUGAAAACUGGAGGCUCAACCUUCAGACGUCGACCGAAACCAUCUGGCUAGAGUCCGGGAGAGGGAUGCAGAAUUCCAGGUGUAGCGGUGAAAUGCGUAGAUAUCUGGAGGAAUACCGGUGGCGAAGGCGGCAUCCUGGACCGAGAUUGACGCUGAACGGCGAAAGCUAGGGGAGCAAACGGG